rnacentral:rRNA from 1 species
UACGUAGGGGGCAAGCGUUGUCCGGAAUCAUUGGGCGUAAAGCGCGUGUAGGCGGCUCGAUAAGUCUGCUGUAAAAGUCCAGGGCUCAACCCUGGAAAGCCGGUGGAAACUGUCGAGCUAGAGUCCGGAAGAGGCGAGUGGAAUUCCUGGUGUAGCGGUGAAAUGCGCAGAUAUCAGGAGGAACACCAAUGGCGAAGGCAGCUCACUGGCCCGGUUCUGACGCUGAGGUGCGAAAGCGUGGGGAGCAAACAGG